AGGCCCGCUUCCGGACCACCUUGGCUUCCUUGACAUUGGCACUUGAACUGCAACAAAGUGUAUCACCCUGCCAUCUUCCUUACUAAAAACAGGACUCAUGUGAAAUAACAUCCAAAUGGGGGUUCCAUCUUUACGAUAAUUCAAUAAAAUAGUUUGAAUUGUCCUCUCUUCUUGAAUUGCCUCCUGAAUUUCGGUUAUCGAUCUCCUACUAGUCCCUGGUCCCUGAAAUGCCCUACCAUUCUUCCCAAUCACCUCCUCUUUCGAAUAUCCCGACAUUUUCAAGAAUCCCCGGCUGGCAAAAACAAUUGGGUGCCCUGAAAUUGAAGGAUCAGUGAUAGUGAAAUUAUCAGGCAAUUCAUCGAGCGCUUCUCGCACCCAAACCGAGUACCGGUAAUUAAA
rnacentral:lncRNA from 1 species